CCCCUAGAUGUUCUGGGCCGCACGCGCGCUACACUGACCAGUGCAACAAGCAUCCGUCCUUGGCCGACAGGCCCGGGCAAUCUUUGAACGCUGGUCGUGAUGGGGAUAGACUUUUGCAAUUUUUGGUCUUCAACGAGGAAUUCCUAGUAAACGCAAGUCAUCAACUUGCAUUGAUUACGUCCCUGCCCUUUGUACACACCGCCCGUCGCACCUACCGAUUGAAUGGUCCGGUGAAGCCUCCGGAUUGGCGCGCACCUCGGUGCCGCCGAGAAGUUGGCUAAACCUUACCAUUUAGAGGAAGGGGAAGUCGUAACA
rnacentral:rRNA from 1 species